rnacentral:rRNA from 1 species
GACGAACGCUGGCGGCGUGCUUAACACAUGCAAUUCGAACGGAAAGGCCCUGCUUUUGUGGGUUGCUCGAGUGGCGAACGGGUGAGUAACACGUGAUUAACCUGCCCUUGACUUUGGGAUAACUUCAGGAAACUGGGGCUAAUACCGGAUAGGAGCUCCUGCUGCAUGGUGGGGGUUGGAAAGUUUCGGCGGUUGGGGAUGGACUCGCGGCUUAUCAGCUUGUUGGUGGGGUAGUGGCUUACCAAGGCUUUGACGGGUAGCCGGCCUGAGAGGGUGACCGGCCACAUUGGGACUGAGAUACGGCCCAGACUCCUACGGGAGGCAGCAGUGGGGAAUAUUGCACAAUGGGCGGAAGCCUGAUGCAGCAACGCCGCGUGCGGGAUGACGGCCUUCGGGUUGUAAACCGCUUUCGCCUGUGACGAAGCGUGAGUGACGGUAAUGGGUAAAGAAGCACCGGCUAACUACGUG